GACUUAUAGCAGUGACAGCUAUAUCAUUUAGUUUCAGAAUCUAUUGUUAUAAUUAACAGAGGAGAAUUUUAAAUUUUUUUGUAUUUUUAUUUUUGGGGGUCUUCCUAGAUAGUUCAGGGUGACCUUGAACUUGCUACGUAGCCCAGCCUGGCUUCAAACUUGUCAUCCUCCUGCCUCAGCCUCCCAGGAGAGCUAGGAUUAUGGGUUUGUGACACCAUGCCCAGCAGAACAGAGUUUUAUUCCACAUGGUUCCUUCCUUCAAACAGCCUGCAGAGCAGUGUGGACAUUAGUGCUCAGUGAUCCACACAGGUGAUAGUUGAAUCGAAAUCCAUGUAAGACUUUGAUGCACUUAAUUGUGUGUCAAGUGCUAUCUGGGUCUUAGAUUUAAAAAAAAAAAUUAGAGCAGGACAGUAGCAGUGAUGUGGGAAAGGUGGUUUCUGACCUGGGCCUUCAGUGGCAGUAGGGCAUGAAUAGAUAGGAAAAAUGAUAGGACCAUGUGGUGGGGGCCUGUCUGACAGGGACUUAUUACCUGAAGGUGUAGCAUUGGCUAGAAAAUAGCACUAAGGGAAGAAAAGCGUGUGUCGAGCCAAACCUUAGAGAGGAUGUGGUACCCGCACCGCGCAAGGUGAAACCCAGGUAGCCCAGCAUCAGCCAGGCUUGUGUUCUGGAUGAAGCCAGAGAACAGAAGACAGACGAGGUCAUGCCAGCUUCCGUCUCUGCCGCAGUGGCCGGCAGGCUAAGCAGCUUCUAGGCGGAGAAGGGAUGUGAUCCCUGAGCGCAGCAGACACGAUGCUGUCCCUCUGUCCUGCAUGCCGCCUGAGCAGGUCUCCUCCUUUACGCUUUCUUUAUAUCUAGAAUUCAUCUUGGUGGAGAAGCAGGAAGAAUUUAUAUGAAAAUAAAAUAUAAAAAAGUUCAUUCAGGGAAGACUGGCACAGCCUAAAGUAACCAUUAGGAUGAUAAGAACAGACUAAAUUUACACUAGAUGGGUCAUUUAGCGUGUUUUUCUACCACUCAGGUAAGUGUAACAGAUGAGUUUAUACAGGCAAAAUAUUUCACUUUUUUUGUCUCGAUUUUAAGUGAAGAGUGAACAUGAUUGUGUGGUCCAAAUACGGAUAAUGUUGUUGUUAAAAAAAAUUUUUUCCCCUGCAGAUAGCUUGCUUAAAUAAUAAAUUUCUAAAAUGUUUAAGUGACAUUUACCUUUAUAGUGAGAUAAUAUAUGUCCAAGUUCCUGGCAUAUGCUAAGUGCUAUGUGAAAAUUCAUUGUUUUGAUGUCAUUUGGGGUCAGUGUCAAGAGGGUAACAUCUACGUCCGCAGGCUCCCAGGGUCCCAGCUCUUAGUGUUGGAUGUAGCCCCUGACUGCUGGGCAGGGUGGUGCUUCCCUCCACGUGAGUGUGCAGGGCAGUGUGGUUCGGAGCAGAUAUUCUCAGAGCUGGUCCUGUAUCAGAUUCAUCUGAGUGACUUACUUAAAAGCAUGGACCAUUUCUCCUCCGUUUCCCCUUGUGAUUAUGAUUCAGUAUUUCUGGGGAGAUGCCAAAGUGUCUUUUGAAAACCAUUAAAAGUUUGCUUGAUGCAUUGUGAAUAGCAAGGGGCGCCAUGGUACAUCUUCAGUCUGUGAUGGUUGUUGAUGCUUACAGGCUCACCUAUGGUUUAAACUAGAGAAAGUCAGAGCUGAUUGUUUCAUGGUUUUUCUCUGUACAGAGGGUUGUAUCUUCCCAGCUGGACUUUUGUCCAUUCCUCUAAUUCCAAAAUAAAACCAAGAUAGGGAAUGAGAAGAUUUUCCUUAGGCCAGGCCAAAAGAAGUGGCAUUUUCCCUUUAGUGUGGUAGGAUGUGGACCUUGAGCCAAGAGCAAAGAUUAGAGGGGAAGCAAAACCUUUACUCGAGCAGAGCUGUUUUCUUGUCUUCUUCUCCUUUUUCAUCCCUGUCUCAGGUCCCAAAGGAUCAUGGCUGUGAGCAACUUUGAAACAAAGGAUUUUUACUGCAGCACAACAUAAACUGCAGCAUAAACUGCAGAAAAGGUUGUCUGAGUAAGUUGAACCAUGCCUGAAAAGGAUGCUGAGUGCUGCAAAAAUAGAACAAUUGAGAGUACAGUGCCAAUGUGACACUCAGUUCAGCCCCUCAGAGUGGAUCGAGGCUCAGAGGAGCUCCGGCCUGCAGUCACAGAGGUGGCAGAUGGCGUGCCUGACUCUCAAGCUCCAUGCCCGCCACAGCCCCUGACUUCAAUACGCAUCCUCGGGGACCAUCGUCCAGAGGCGAAGAUGUGCGCUGCUUGGUCUCCAGGAUGAACUCGUCACACUGGCUUCCUGGCAUGUACCUGACUGUGCUUAUUGUUGGAGGAGCUCGGGACCUCCAUGUCGCUGAGGAUGGCUGUGGUGCCUUUCAGGACAGCCCUGGUCCUUGUUGUGAGGGUGACUUCUCAGCUCCAGCAUAGAACCCUCACCCCAUCAGCACAGCUCCUUCACCCUGCUGACAUGGACUUUCUGGCUUCUAUCGCUGACCUUUAGGCCUUCCUGGCACAGAUCUGUAAAAGACUGGCAUGAGUCCUUCUUGUGGGCUCUGGACCUACAGAUGGACUCGUGGGAGGCGUUGUCAUGAGCUCUAAGUUUUCAUCUGGACUCAUGUGGGACAUUGCUGUAGGGUUUAGGCCCUUGACUAAAUAUUUUAGGUCUUUGGUGUUUCGGAUAGAUUUCCUGCAUUUUCUUGUGUUAACUCAUGGUGACCAUUAUAAACAUAAUAUUAUAAACUCCAUGUCCUGAUUCUAAUUGUUCUCUGCACAACCCCUGACUACAAUACAAACCCAUUUGUCUAAGGCACGCAGCUAGGAAGAACAUUCCUUAACCAGAGUGCUUUAAACUCCAGACCUUUAUUCAUUACAUGUACAGCCUCUUGAGAACAAAAAAUGGGCUCCUAACCUGUUUUUGAAAUCUACAUCAGACCACUUCCUUUUUUCUGCAUAUAUAAAUAAGGAUAGAGACUCGGCUUUACAAAUUUAAUCAUUCCAUUUCUUUCUCCCACAAACCAACCUUUACCAAGUGCUCAGAGAGGUUCAGUUAAAUUCAUAGCCCAAGAAAAAUGUAUCUUUGUGAUUAAUAUGUGUUAAAAUGAGGAGUGACAUGGUAAUAAAAUGGAAAGGUUUGGGGGCCUUUGGGGAAAUCCAUCUGACUGCAGGCUGUGGUUCCAGUAAUGAGGCUGCUAUUUUGUGGUCACAGAGGUAAUGUUUUCUGAUGCAGGCAGAAUGAUUAACAAGGAGAAAAUACCUGCCUAGCGGGAGGAGGGGAACAGGGGGAAGUAGCCUGUUGGCAAAUGGCUCAGGGGGGAAGACCACUUGCUUUUUCCUCCUACAUUUUCAGGAGAACUUUCAGUUAAGUGCUAUGAGCAGAAGUAGUGCAUUUUUCUGCUCUUUUGUUCUCAUGUUAAUUCAUACAGUGGUGUGUGUAGGUGUGAGUGUGUGUGUAAGGAUGGAUUCAAGGUGGAAGACAAGAAGAAACUGCAUUUAGGUGAUCUAUUUGGUAGAUCUUCCAGAAUUUAGGUCAGACUUGCCAUUGUAUUCUUUCCCAGAGUGCUGGCUUGCUUGGCAACUGAAGUGAUAGCAGCUGUGGGACCCUGGGAGGCUGCUAUGGCUCUGUGUGUGAGAGCACCCACAGAUACUCACAGCCUGCUUUCCCCCAGUUAGUCCUUUUUCCGUAAGCUUCCUGAAGAAUACAUGUGUAAAAUUAACACUAUUAUUACAAGUAUUUGGAUUCAAACCUCAAAGUUGGAAUCAGCUGGCCAGGUGUUUCCUCUGGUUGAGGCUGGGGCAGGCUAGAGGAAAGUGAGGGGAGAUCAAAUGGAUCUUUUCUCUCUAAUGUUAGGAUACUGAUACAAAAAGAAAGGUGCAGAAAAAAAAGGAGAGAAAAAGUAUCUGACCCCACUGUCUCCACAAGCUAUUCUAGGCUGGGUAAAACUCAGAUUUAACUCUUAUGCCAGAGUAAGAUUAAACAUCCAAAAAGUAUGAGAAUGGCUAUACAGAUUCCCCAGCAAGCUGUAUCAACUGCUUGUGUUUCUUUGAGAAUAACACCCUUAGACAAGGCAGUCCAAUCUGUUUUCUUGACCCUGACUCCUCUGUGUACAUGGCGGUGUAAGAGGUUGGUGUGCAGGUACCUAAGCUUUCCAUUCUGGUUUAUCCUUUAGAGGAACACAGAAACCAUGAGCACUCCAGAGACCGAAGGGGAAAGUGUUAUUGAUACUCUUUGUUAUCUUCUCCUCCCCAUUACAUGCUUCUCCAUAGCUUUUUGCCCUAGUUAGAUUUUGGAUGCAAAAGGUAUUUUCCUCAAAUACUUUGUUCUGUAUUUUCUGUUGGAAUGAUUUUCCUCAAGCAUAAUUUUCACGAUAUCCCCAAAUGCUCAAAACUAUCCCAUAUGUCCACCACAGUCUGGGGUACAAAUUACCAAUUUGUUCCCUCUAUUGCUUUGUAAAUAAAGUUUUGUUGAAACCCAGCUAUACUCUUUCAUUUAUAUAUUAUCUCCUGCUGUUUUUAUGCUGCACCAUUAGAGGUGUGUGGUUGUGACACAGAAUGUGUGGUUUACAAAGCUGAGUAUGUUUAAAGUUUGCCCUUUAAGUUUGCCAAAUCUUGCGUUAGCAAGAGAGACUUAAACAUCUAAUUUUUUUUUUUGUAUUUUGAGCCCCUUGUCAAUAUUAUCACAACUAAUUCUUCUUGUCUUACCUAUAGCUGGUCUCUUCCAAGGAUCUAAUGGUCUAGCCAGAAGGGAAUCCUCUACUUUAUACAGUUUCAGUUUUUAUAGUUAUGUAGAAUUAUAAUAAUCACAUAGAAAUGUACAAUUAUUGUACAUCCAUAAUUUGAUGGAUUUUCAAUAUCAGCAUAUACUUAUCACUUAUGCCAAAAUCAAGAAAAAGAAUAUUCAUUAACAAGACCAGAGAAACCCUCUUCCUGCUUAUUUCUAACUUGAUUUCACUUGUAUAUCAUUUUCAGCUCUUUUUGAAUUCAAUAUAAAUAUGAAAGUCAAUAUCCCUUUUCUUUGGCUUCUUUUGUUAAACAUUACAUUUGUGAAAUUCAUCCAUGUUAUCACAUAUAAUUUUAAUUUACGCUCAUUGCUGUAUUUCAUUUUGUUAUAGUUUGUGUCUAGAUAUUCCCCCAAAGCCACAUGCAGUCAUGUGGGCUUCUAGAGUUUGUGAUUGACUCUUGAUCCAGUGCUGGGAUUAUCGAUGUGAGUGCUGCACUCACCCUAGCGUGUGUAGCCUGUGCAUGGUAGAAGGGCAGAAAGAGGGUUCUCUUCUCUUACUUGCUCUGGCUACUGUUGCUAUUGCCACCAUGAACUGUUGCCCUCUGCCAUGAGCCACCCUGUCUUGGAGCCAGCUGAUUAUGGACUGAAAGCUCCACAGAUUGUGAGCUAAAUAAACCUUUCCCUCAUUAAUUUUGGGUGUCAGUUAUUUUAUCUCAGCAACAAGAGAAAAUUAACCAAUGCACAUUUUUUUUUGCAUAGUUCUACUAUUGGUAGGUGUUUGAAUGGUUUCUAGUUUGAGCUAUUAUGAAGAAUGCUACUAUAAACAUCCUUUUGCAUGCUUUUGAUUGAUAUAUUAAUACAUUUCUUUUUUUUUUUUUAAAUCAGUACCAGGGAUUGAACUCAUGACUGCCUGCUUUCAAGGCAGGUGCUUAUGCUGCUGAGCUAAAUCCCCAGCCCCUAAUGCAUUUCUUUAGUAAUCUAAAUUAAUACUUUGGUGUGUCUUUACAAGGUCAUAGGAUAGUUAGUCCAAAAUCAUUUUCCAGUGUACUUAUACUAUCAGGAGUGUGUGGGAACUCCUUUUGAUGGAGUAUCCAUUAUGGUUUAGGCCUAAAAAGUCCUCCAAAAAUCCCACGUGUUCAUAGGGCUGUUAGGACGUGAAACUCGUUCAGCAGAGGGGGGGUCACCGCAGGGUGUGACCUGGGAGACGUGCAUUUUUUCUCUCCCUUCUCUCUCGGUUUCCAGCUUCUUUCCUUUCAGCCAUCCCCUGGGCCACUGCUUGUGCCUUGGGGCCUGCAGCCAUGGACUGAACCUUCUAAAACUGCGAGCAAAAGAAACCUCUCCUUUAACUCAUUGCUGUCAGAUAUUUUUUUCCCAGUGAGAGGAAAGUGAAUUGUAUAGUGUCUUUGUCAACAUUUGGAUUUUUGUCGAUGGUAACUUUUCUUUCCUUUUAGCAAUUCUGACUGGUAUAUGGCACAGCCACAUUGCAGUUGAAAUUUGCAUUUUCUUAAUCUCUAAGAAGUAGAGCACAAUAAAUUUUAUAAAUUUAUUGGCCAUUGACAUGUCAGCUUUGUGAUAUGCCCAUUAAAUUGUUUGAUUUUUUUUCC